AUGUUUACCACUAGUGUGGCAAUCCCCGAAUAUAGAUAACAUAUCAAAUGUUGAAAGUGAGACAUUUUGAAAUGUCAUGCCAAAUAUUGGCUCAUUUUGGAUUUCAUGAGAGCUACACAUUCCAAAAAAGUUGGGACAUGUAGCAAUAAGAGGCCGGAAAAGUUAAAUGUACAUAUAAGGAACAGCUGGAGGACUAAUUUGCAACUUAUUAGGUCAAUUGGCAACAUGAUUGGUUAUAAAAAGAGCCUCUCAGAGUGGCAGUGUUUCUCAGAAGUCAAGAUGGGCAGAGGAUCACCAAUUCCCCCAAUGCUGCGGCCAAAAAUAGUGAAGCAAUAUCAGAAAGGAGUUUCUCAGAGAAAAACUGCAAAGAGUUUGAAGUUAUCAUCAUCUACAGUGGAUAAUAUCAUCCAAAGAUUCAGAGAAUCUGGAACAAUCUCUGUGCGUAAGGGUCAAGGCUGGAAAACCAUACUGGAUGCCUGUGAUCUUUGGGCCCUUAGACGGCACUGCAUCACAUACAGGAAUACUACUGUAAUGGAAAUCACAACAUGGGCUCAGGAAUACUUCCAGAAAACAUUGUCGGUGAACACAAUCCACCGUGCUAUUCGCCGUUGCCGGCUAAAACUCUAUAGGUCAAAAAAGAAGCCAUAUCUAAACAUGAUCCAGAAGCGCAGGCGUUUUCUCUGGGCCAAGACUCAUUUAAAAUGGACUGUGGCAAAGUGGAAAACUGUUCUGUGGUCAGACGAAUCAAAAUUUGAAGUUCUUUUUGGAAAACCUCUAGAAGCCAUAUCUAAACAUGAUCCAGAAGCGCAGGCGUUUUCUCUGGGCCAAGACUCAUUUAAAAUGGACUGUGGCAAAGUGGAAAACUGUUCUGUGGUCAGACGAAUCAAGAUUUGAAGUUCUUUUUGGAAAACUGGGACACCAUGUCAUCCGGACUAAAGAGGACAAGGACAACCCAAGUUGUUAUCAGCGCUCAGUUCAGAAGCCUGCAUCUCUGAUGGUAUGGGGUUGCAUGAGUGCGUGUGGCAUGAGCAGCUUACACAUCUGGAAAGGCACCAUCAAUGCUGAAAGGUAUAUCCAAGUUCUAGAACAACAUAUGCU
rnacentral:lncRNA from 1 species